rnacentral:lncRNA from 1 species
CUGGGAGGCAGCCUAGAUGUAGUGAUUUGCCCAGUGAUUUGCCCACUGCUUGCCCAAAUCGCCGGGCAAAUCGACUGAAUAUACCAUAGUCACAAGUGAUCGGGGCAGUGAUUUGCCCAAUUGCCCAGAUAAUUUGACCAAGAUCACCGGUCCAAUCACAAAAUCAAGCACAUCAUCAGAAAAGGGCGUGAACAGUACCAGCCCAGCAACUGCAAAGGAGAAGCGAUCUGGCCAAGUGAUUUGCCCACUGCUUACCCAAAUCACUGGUCAAAUCACCCUGUCAAGAAUCCAGAGGGCCAGCAUUAAAUGAUCAGGGCAGUUCACAUACCCAAAUCACUUUAAGUAGUUCUUUUCUUUUAUUUUUUUUUUUUACUUUUUACGCUACUUAUUGUCUUUUAUCUCUUCUUCUUCAAGAUUUCUCUCCUCCGACCACCACUGACCCACCAGCAAACCCAAGACCACCAUGGUAAGAAUUAAGAUGAAGGCCACCGGCGGACCGUUCAUGUGGAAGAAACUAGGGCUGCCGAAACCCAUCCCCU